rnacentral:rRNA from 1 species
GUCCUAAGGUAGCGAAAUUCCUUGUCGGGCAAGUUCCGACCUGCACGAAUGGCAUAACGAUGGCCACACUGUCUCCUCCUGAGACUCAGUGAAGUUGAAGUGUUUGUGAUGAUGCAAUCUCCCCGCGGCUAGACGGAAAGACCCCAUGAACCUUUACUGUAGCUUUGCAUUGGACUUUGAACCGAUCUGUGUAGGAUAGGCGGGAGCCUGUGAAACCACAACGCCAGUUGUGGCGGAGGCGUCCUUGAAAUACCGCCCUGAUUUGUUUGAGGUUCUAACCUGGGACAGUCAUCCUGUCCGGGGACCGUGCAUGGUAGGCAGUUUGACUGGGGCGGUCUCCUCCUAAAGGGUAACGGAGGAGUGCGAAGGUACGCUAGGUACGGUCGGAAAUCGUGCUGAUAGUGCAAUGGCAAAAGCGUGCUUGACUGCGAGACCCACAAGUCGAGCAGAUACGAAAGUAGGUCAUAGUGAUCCGGUGGCUCUGUAUGGAAGGGCCAUCGCUCAACGGAUAAAAGGUACUCUGGGGAUAACAGGCUGAUACCGCCCAAGAGUUCAUAUCGACGGCGGUGUUUGGCACCUCGAUGUCGGCUCAUCUCAUCCUGGGGCUGUAGCCGGUCCCAAGGGUAUGGCUGUUCGCCAUUUAAAGAGGUACGUGAGCUGGGUUUAAAACGUCGUGAGACAGUUUUGUCCCUAUCUGCCGUGGGCGCUGGAAGAUUGACGGGGGCUGCUCCUAGUACGAGAGGACCGGAGUGGACUCACCUCUGGUGUACCGGUUGUCACGCCAGUGGCAUCGCCGGGUAGCUAUGUGGGGAAGAGAUAACCGCUGAAAGCAUCUAAGCGGGAAACUUGCCUGAAGAUAAGUCUUCCUGGAGGCUAGACCUCCCUAAAGAGUCGUUCGAGACCAGGACGUUGAUAGGAUGGGUGUGUAAGUGCUGUGAGGCACUCAGCUAACCAUUACUAAUUGCUCGUGAAGCUUGAUCCU